AGAGUUUGAUCAUGGCUCAGAGUGAACGCUGGCGGCAGGCCUAACACAUGCAAGUCGAACGGCAGCACAGAGGAGCUUGCUCCUUGGGUGGCGAGUGGCGGACGGGUGAGGAAUACAUCGGAAUCUGCCCAGUCGUGGGGGAUAACUUAGGGAAACUUAAGCUAAUACCGCAUACGACCUACGGGUGAAAGCGGAGGACCGCAAGGCUUCGCGCGAUUGGAUGAGCCGAUGUCGGAUUAGCUAGUUGGCGGGGUAAAGGCCCACCAAGGCGACGAUCCGUAGCUGGUCUGAGAGGAUGAUCAGCCACACUGGAACUGAGACACGGUCCAGACUCCUACGGGAGGCAGCAGUGGGGAAUAUUGGACAAUGGGCGCAAGCCUGAUCCAGCCAUGCCGCGUGAGUGAAGAAGGCCCUCGGGUUGUAAAGCUCUUUUGUCCGGAAAGAAAAGCACUUGGCUAAUACCCAGGUGUCCUGACGGUACCGGAAGAAUAAGCACCGGCUAACUUCGUGCCAGCAGCCGCGGUAAUACGAAGGGUGCAAGCGUUACUCGGAAUUACUGGGCGUAAAGCGUGCGUAGGUGGUUCGUUAAGUCUGAUGUGAAAGCCCUGGGCUCAACCUGGGAAUUGCAUUGGAUACUGGCGGGCUAGAGUACGGUAGAGGGUGGCGGAAUUCCCGGUGUAGCAGUGAAAUGCGUAGAGAUCGGGAGGAACAUCCGUGGCGAAGGCGGCCACCUGGACCAGUACUGACACUGAGGCACGAAAGCGUGGGGAGCAAACAGGAUUAGAUACCCUAGUAGUCC
rnacentral:rRNA from 1 species